UACGGAGGGGCUAGCGUUGUUCGGAAUUACUGGGCGUAAGCGCACGUAGGCGGCUUGUAAGUUAGAGGUGAAGCCCAGGGCUUAACCCUGGAAUUGCCUUAAGACUGCAUCGCUAGAAUCGUGGAGAGGUGAGUGGAAUUCCGAGUGUAGAGGUGAAAUUCGUAGAUAUUCGGAAGAACACCAGUGGCGAAGGCGACUCACUGGACACGUAUUGACGCUGAGGUGCGAAAGCGUGGGAGCAAACAGG
rnacentral:rRNA from 1 species